rnacentral:rRNA from 1 species
UAGGGAAUCUUCGGCAAUGGACGGAAGUCUGACCGGGCAACGCCGCGUGAGUGAAGAAGGUUUUCGGAUCGUAAAGCUCUGUUGUAAGAGAAGAACGAGUGUGAGAGUGGAAAGUUCACACUGUGACGGUAACUUACCAGAAAGGGACGGCUAACUACGUGCCAGCAGCCGCGGUAAUACGUAGGUCCCGAGCGUUAUCCGGAUUUAUUGGGCGUAAAGCGAGCGCAGGCGGUUAGAUAAGUCUGAAGUUAAAGGCUGUGGCUUAACCAUAGUACGCUUUGGAAACUGUUUAACUUGAGUGCAGAAGGGGAGAGUGGAAUUCCAUGUGUAGCGGUGAAAUGCGUAGAUAUAUGGAGGAACACCGGUGGCGAAAGCGGCUCUCUGGUCUGUAACUGACGCUGAGGCUCGAAAGCGUGGGGAGCAAACAGGAUUAGAUACCCUGGUAGUCCACGCCGUAAACGAUGAGUGCUAGGUGUUGGGUCCUUUCCGGGACUCAGUGCCGCAGCUAACGCAUUAAGCACUCCGCCUGGGGAGUACGACCGCAAGGUUG